rnacentral:lncRNA from 1 species
GCUCAAGAGGUCCACCAAAUGUUUUUUGGGACUGUAGCUUAGGUACUACCUUAAGGGCCCUUAGGUACUACCUUAGUGGCCUUGAGGUACUACCUUAAGGGACCCUAGGUACUACCUUAAGGUAAACUUGAACUCAACUUCUCCCAAGCCUCGGGUCUUCCUUGGUGACCCUUAGAGCAUCCCAUUAUGUGGUUCUCUUCAGUGUUGAAGUGGUCCACCAAGGGUUUUUUGGGACUGUAGCUUAGGUACUACCUUAAGGGCCCUUAGGUACUACCUUAGUGGCCUUGAGGUACUACCUUAAGGGACCCUAGGUACUACCUUAAGGUAAACUUGAACUCAACCUCUCCCAAGCCUCGGGUCUUCCUUGGUGACCCUUAGAGCAUCCCAUUAUGUGGUUCUCUUCAGUGUUGAAGUGGUCCACCAAUGGUUUUUUGGGACUGUAGCUUAGGUACUACCUUAAGGGCCCUUAGGUACUACCUUAAGGGCCCUUAGGUACUACCUCAGUGGCCUUGAGGUAUUACCUUAAGGGACCCUAGGUACUACCUUAAGGUAAACUUGAACUCAACCUCUCCCAAGCCUCGGGUCUUUCUUGGUGACCCUUGGACCAUCCCAGUAUGUGGUUCUCUUCAUUCCUCAAGUGGUCCACCAAUGGUUUCUUGGGACUUUAGCUUAGGUACUACCUUUAGGGCCCUUAGGUACUACCUUAGUGGCCUUGAGGUACUACCUUAAGGGACCUUAGGUACUACCUUAAGGGACCUUAGGUACUACCUUAAGGUAAACUUGAACUCUACCUCUCCCAAGCCUCGGGCCUUCCUUUGUGACCCUUAGACUAUGUCAUUAUGUGGUUCUCUUGUGUGCUCAAGUGGUCCACCUUUGGUUUUUUGGGACUGUACCUUAGGUACUACCUUAAGAGCCUUUAGGUACUACCUUAAUGGCCCUUAGGUACUACCUUAAGGGACCUCAAGUACUACCUUAUCUAAAGUUUGGUUUUUUGUGACUGGCUUGUUGGUUCAAGUGGGUUUUCCCUAUUUUAUGCUGUCUCUCUCGGUUUGGUACUUCUAUCAUGCUACAUUGAACUUCCCAUGUCAAAAUUGAUGAUUUUGUGAAACCUUCUACACAUACCAGAUAUAGGAUUCUUAGUGCCUUAUUUGUGUUCUAAUACAGAUAUCUAUUCAUAUUUGCAUCUACUUGGUGAAUUUAUUCUAUCAUAUGGUAUCAUGUAAGACUUGGCUUUCUUGCUAAAUUAUUUCAUUAAUUAUUU